AGCGCCCAUGACCCUAGUCUUGUUACUGUGACCUGAAUACUUUUCUAGGCGAUUAUAUCCAUCUUGGUAUUAAGGUUAACCGUUAUACCUCAAUAUGCAUGGUGGAUGGGGAUCAUUUCAAGGAGUUUAAAUGGACACGACUUUUCUGGAAGAAAACCACAAGAGACACCUACUGGGGGACUCCGGCUAUCAACAAUAGGUACAACAAUGCCCAGUCAAGUGUAUUGUGGUUGAGAGGGCUUUUGGACUGCCAAAGAGUAGAUUUAGGUGUCUACAUAAAACUGGCUGUUGUUUAUUAAUGAGACACGAUGAGUGCUGUCAAGCAGUGGCUGCAUGAAUGUGCCUGCACAACUUAUGCAUAGAUUAGCAGGUGCCACUGCCUAAACAACUUACCGAGGCACAGGAAGUGGAAGAUGUUGUGCACAGUUCACAACAAGACCAAAAUGCAGCUUUUAUGGACAACACAUCAUUAACUUAUUUAUGUAGUUGCUGUUUUAUGCUCACAUGUGCAUGAAGUGCUAUAGGUGAGUCAUUGUGGUUUGUCUAUGUUCGGCGACAUGUGUUAAUAUUCAAUAUUUGACUCUUUGUUGAUGAAAGAUGGUCAUUAUGUUUCUGCUAAUGAUACAUAAUAACUUAAUAAGUUAAUGAUUUCUUGUCUAUGAGCUGCUGCAUUUCUGUCAAGUGUGGUCAACAUCUUUGUAAAAGUGUGGAUAUUGACAAUUUCUGCCGUUCUUUUGUGGAUUUUUUUCAUUAAAGACACACUGUUUACAAUAUUCAUUUAUGCAAUGCGUACGAUGAUUACAUGUUUCCUUUAUAUUAUAACAACGUGAAAAUAAAUUCUACCCCUUUAUUUAAUUAUCUGUGUAACAUAACAAUACAGGGUUUUCUCCAACAACUCUACAGCUAGGGAACAAUGAAGUGGAACACUAUCUGAAAAUGAAAUACAUUUUAUGUUAAUAAAAUUUGUAUUUGUUAGACAAGUGAUGAAAUAAAAGGUUAACAUUGUAACAUAAAGAGAUGUGGUUUCUGUUUGUUCUUUAAAGAGCAUGUACUGUGUACAGUACACUCCACGCGUUUUCCCCAAAAAACGCGCUCCCUCCGCGGGUUUUUUCUGCUAGCGAGUGUUCACGCGGCGUUGGAAGAGCGAGGUGAACUCGAUAAAACGCUCGGCGUUACGCCGCGUUCGCUAAUUCCCGCGGCGUGUAUUACUUUAGGCUAGUCGGUAAAUGCAGACACCUUCCGUUCUUAUCAGUGAUCGCCGCGCAACGCCGCGUUAGCAGUGUGCUACUGGGCAUGCCAAAAAAUAAAAACAUUGUUAUAAUAAAUUGUUUAAAUACUGUAGUACAUGUAUAAAAAGAUAAUUGUAUAGAAAAUUAAUACGUAUAAAAAUUAUGUUUUUUAAUUCACAGGUACGUCUACUAUAUGAAUUAGUCUAAUAUAAUACAUUUGACAAAUUAAUAUUUAAAUCAUAACACAUACGACACAAGAAUAAAUGUUCCGUAAAAUUUCCAAAUGAGAAUAAUAAUUAGUAAUCCGAAACACACUACGAUUUUUAAUUGUUAACACGACGUUUACAAAUGCUUCCAAUAUACAGUCAUGUAUAUUUCCCGACAAAAGCGCGCGAAAAUUAUGCUGCAAUGUACAAGGUCAAGGUACAAUGUAUACUCCUGCAAAGCGUGCGUGUAUUGAUUUUUUUGAUACAAACUUUGUAGCGCAGAGAACAUUGUUGAUUUCGGUUAAAAGUUUCUUUGGUAUUUAUUAACGAAAUUAUAUCGCGAAUAAGUUGAUAUUUCCUCUAAAAUAAUUUCAAAUCGAACACGCCGAAUCUUUAUCGUUACGGUAUUUUAGUAGAGUAAUUAUUUUAACACUAAUUGUACUGUAAACUGAUUACAGAAGACAUCUGGGCGGAACUGGAUUUUAAGUGUUUGACGCUAUGAAAACACGCAAAGCUUGUCUACUGACCUAUUGUGUAGACUGCUGUAUUCGGUGUUUUGACAAAAGGGAUUAACAUGUGUGAAUGUCACUCUGCCGAUUUGGUCCAUAAUUACUGGUAAACAUUGUUUAGAAUGUCGACGCAACAAGAAUACAACUGUGAAUAUUAAAUGCAAUUAUCAACUCAAUAGUUACCACCUUUUAGCAAUCAAUGGAAUAACCUACAAACAAAGAGAAAAUCAAUGCAUUAGCGAGCAGAGAAUAGACUUUGUUCCGACAAUUAAAACCAUUCCUUAUGCAUUCGUUGAACGUGUUUACUUGAGUAAGUUAUGCCUUUAGACAGGAAGCGGCUUUUCUUUGAUUACGUCAAACUGUCAAUUCACACAGAUUUGCGAGAUUGUUAGGGUCCUUGGUCAUUUGUUUACAUGUUCAUUAUAGAAAAUCACCUGCUAACAUGAAAACUUUGGAUUAAAUUAUCAAAAUAAAACAAUGUUGCAAACUGUGUUUAUAUUAAUUGGUAAGUAUUAGUUAAAAGACGACGUUUUGUGUGUCGUAAACCAACGAGUUUUCUAUCCAACCACAACUACUUCUAUAACCACGUCGGGAUCGAUCUAUCUAUCGUGUUUUUUUUAAUUGUAAAUAUUAUACUACAUGUACAUGUAUGUACUUGUAAUAAAUGUAAUUUUAUUUGAAAAUCAGGAAGUCAAACAAAAUUAAAUUGAUCGUUAUCUCGUAAAACGCGGAGUUUCCCCCGCGUUGCCAACGCCGAGGGCCGCCGCAUCGGUUUAUCAGUUUUGCCGAUCGUUAACCGCCGCGUCCAAAAUCAUGCAAACGCCGCGUAUAGCGGGAUUUUCUUAAUCUCCCUCCAGGUCGAAACCCGCGGAGUAUGGAGGGAAAUUGGGGAAAAUGCGUGGAGUGUACUGUAUACUGCACAUCAGACAAGGUUCUGUUGGAACUAAUAGUUUCAUAAAAAAAAUAUUAAGAAUGAAUUGUAUCAUUAAUCUUAAGAUGGAUUGUUGAUUCAUUAUUACACAUUCAUGAUCUACACUUCAUAAGUUAAUCAUUAAUUUUCAUUCAACCUACAUCUUUUUUUUCUUACUGGCUCAAAUGACUGGGCCUCACAUGCGCUCUUUUGCGGAUUUCCUAUAAUGAUUAUAAAUGAAUGAAUAUGACUCGUAAAAAAACAUAAGUAAUCCAAUAUGUUAUUUUAGCUUAUGUAUACAUAAUUUAUUA